GUUGUGAACCGGGUCGCGGCGGCCGAGGCUCGGGGGACCCGCUGCAGCUGGGAGGGGAGCUGUCCAGGAGGCCGGCCUGGGAAUGAGCACAGGCCUGCGGCUGGCAGAGAGCCGGGUCGAGCCAGCCCUGGAGAAGCAGGCCCAGCUGGAGGAGCAGCUGCGGGACAAGGUGCUCCACGAGAAGGACCUGUCCCAGCAGCAGAUGCAAAGCGACCUGGACAAGGCUGACCUCAGUGCCAGGAGGGUCCCUGGUGGGUGCUGCAUGAGGCAGGCGUCACUGCAGAAGAGUGACAGAGCUGGGCCUGGCAGUGAAGCGUCUACAGAAGCAGAAUCUGGAGAAGGAUCAGGUCGACAAGGACCUCACCGAGAAGCUUGAGGCCCUGGAAUCCCUGCGGCUACAGGAGCAGGCGGCCCUGGAGACAGAGGAUGGAGAGGGGCUACAGCGGAGCCUAAGGGACCUGGCACAGGUGUGAGCCCAGAAAGGCGGGAAGACAGGGCCCUGCCAGGCGGUCCUGGGCUCCCCCGCCUCGCCUUUCGGUGGCUUCGGAUUGAACUGCAGAUGGGUGGGGCCCUGGGACCCAGGCUGUAGCUGCUCAGCACCCCUGCUAGCUCACCCGGCCUCUGCCCUGGGGAGCCCCCAGUCUCAGAGGGGAGGCACGGCCCUCUCGGAGCCCACCUGUGAGCAAUGCCAAAUGAUGUCUUCGCAAUAAAUGGGAUGCCUCAGCGGCGAGCUGAGGACUGAGCUAGU
ensembl:lncRNA novel transcript